AGAGUUUGAUCCUGGCUCAGAACGAACGCUGGUGGCGUGCUUAACACAUGCAAGUCGAACGAGAAAGUUUCCUUCGGGAAACCAGUAAAGUGGCGCAAGGGUGAGUAACACGUGAAUAAUCUGCCCUCGAGAUCGGGAUAACAUGGUGAAAACUAUGCUAAUACCGGAUAAGACCACAUUUCAUAAGAAAUGCGGUAAAAGGAGUCUCAAUCUUCACUCGAGGAUGAGUUCGCGCAACAUUAGCUUGUUGGUGAGAUAAAAGCUCACCAAGGCUACGAUGUUUAGCCGGCCUGAGAGGGUGAUCGGCCACACUGGAACUGAGACACGGUCCAGACUCCUACGGGAGGCAGCAGUGGGGAAUUUUGCGCAAUGGACGAAAGUCUGACGCAGCAACGCCGCGUGAUUGAUGAAGCUUUUAGGAGUGUAAAGAUCUGUCGUGAGGGAAGAAAAACCUGGAUGUAAAUAAUGUUCAGGCGUGACGGUACCCGUAGAGGAAGCCCCGGCUAACUCCGUGCCAGCAGCCGCGGUAAUACGGGGGUCCCAAGCGUUGUUCGGAAUUACUGGGCGUAAAGGGUCCGUAGGCGUCUUGACAAGUUGAUCGUUAAAUCCACCGGCUCAACCGGUGAUCUGCGUUCCAUACUACCUGUCUUGAGUACGUGAGAGGAAAGCGGAAUUCAGGGUGUAGCGGUGAAAUGCUUAGAUAUCCUGAGGAACACCAAUGGCGAAGGCAGCUUUCUGGCACGAUACUGACGCUGAGGCUCGAAAGCGUGGGUAGCGAACGGGAUUAGAUACCCCGGUAGUCCACGCCGUAAACGUUGUGUACUAGGUGCAGGAGGUAUCGACCCCUUCUGUGCCGCAGCUAACGCAUUAAGUACACCGCCUGGGGAGUACGCACGCAAGUGUGAAACUCAAAGGAAUUGACGGGGGCCCGCACAAGCGGUGGAGCAUGUGGUUUAAUUCGAGGCAACGCGAAGAACCUUACCCAGACUUGACAUCCUAGGGAAAGCCCCUGGAAACAGGGGGCCUCCUUCGGGACACUAUGACAGGUGCUGCAUGGCUGUCGUCAGCUCGUGUCGUGAGAUGUUGGGUUAAGUCCCGCAACGAGCGCAACCCUUGCCCUAUGUUGCCAGCGGUUCGGCCGGGGACUCAUGGGGGACUGCCGGUGAUAAACCGGAGGAAGGUGGGGACGACGUCAAGUCAUCAUGGCCCUUACGUCUGGGGCUACACACGUGCUACAAUGGCCAACACAAAGGGCUGCAAACCUGCGAGGGUGAGCGAAUCCCAAAAAGUUGGUCUAAGUUCGGAUUGUAGUCUGCAACUCGACUGCAUGAAGUCGGAAUCGCUAGUAAUCGUAGAUCAGCAACGCUACGGUGAAUACGUUCCCGGGCCUUGUACACACCGCCCGUCACGCCAUGGAAGCCGGGAGUGCCCGAAGUCCGUGACCCAACCCUCGGGAGGGAGCGGCCGAAGGCAAAUUUGGUAACUGGGGCGAAGUCGUAACAAGGUAACC
rnacentral:rRNA from 1 species